rnacentral:lncRNA from 10 species
CUACACAGACCCGCACUGACCUGGAAAAGCUUCGGGAGCGGCGACGGGAAGGCAGCAGGAGGUGGUGCGGGGACCCGAGGCGCCUCGUACCCGGCCGGGCUGACGCGGCCCCGCUACACACAAAGCGCUUCAGCUGCACAGGGCGCUAUUUUCCGAAAAUGCCGCGUCUGGUCGGCGCCCAAAAUCCCCACCGAAAAGUCCCCCGUGCUGCGCGCGGAGGGACACAUGGUGUGCGAACGGAGAGUGCGGAAUCUUUGGAGUUUUAAGCUUGCCAACUGUGCGGCCUAGCAGAAUCCUGGGAGACGGAAGGACAGCCAAGAGGCUAGGAUUUACCUUUAAGUGUCCCUAGAUUCAACUAGGCAGACUGGGACGGGAGACGCUGUGAAGGUACCAGGGAAGGAACGAGUGAGGUUCCUUUUCCACUUUUUCAUAAACUCAACAGUCAGGUUCAUGACGAAGAUAUAGAUAUUUCUGUAGAUUUUUUCCCCAACAUUCUAAUUAUGCCUCAUGUUUCGUAGAUCCUAGUAACUGCUUGGAUUACUGCCACCUCAGAGGUAGAGAUCUGUUUUUCCGUGGCUGGAAUGCCAAAAAUUUUGUUGUAUUUUAUUAAGAAAGUAGCAAAAGUUUGGAGAUUUGCAAAGUUAAAAAAAAAAAAAGCAUUAUGAACUUAAUCUAGAUGUGAUUUGCUAAGGAACUUAAUAUAUUGAUAUGUUUUUCACAGGGGCGUCUGGGCAUGGCUUUCCCAACCUAGUAACUGCAACUUUUAGCAUCCUACAUGUAGGACUUGGGAAUAUGUGAGACAGCGCCAAGAAUUUAAUCCAGGAGAAUUGACAAGCUUAAAUGAAAUCCAUAUUGCCCACUGAUUUUGUGCAGCUUCAGAUAAGUAAUCUUUCUCCACUUAGCCUUUUGUAACAAUUGAUGUAAUAAAGGUUUGUAGUCUUUGUGUAAUUUAUUAAAGCAUUGUGCCUAAAAUAGAAAAAAAGCAUAGGAACCAUAGGCUGUGUUUUCUUUUGAUUUAAUAUUUUCAUUUCUUCAGUUAAUAGAAAUUUGCCAAAUUCUGAUGUUUUUCUGUAGCAUUAUUUGAAUGAGCAUUGUUUAUUUGAGUGAACAUUCAGCUAAUUGUUACAGAAUCGUUGCCCCCAUUAAUCUUAGGCUGUAGAAUGUAGACAAGUAAAUAGGCAUCAUCAGUAUGAUGAGAGUGAAGCUACUUAAUACUGUGGAAUCAAAUAAAGGAGGAACCCCUUACUAAACCAAGAGGGAGGAAUAAAAUGGAAUGGGACUAGAGAAGCAAUUAGCUUUAAUAAGGGUAUUAUGGAAGACUUUCUAGAUGAGAAGCAGUAAGUACAGAUGUUUGGAGGCAAACACUAGAGAGAUUGUUGGGUAAAGAAGACAAUGCUGGAGGUCUACUUGUGAAGGCCUUGAAUGCUAUGUGCAGAAGUCAGCUUCUGAGAACCAGGAAGAAGAUAUUGAAAGAUUUUAAGUAGAAGAAUCAUAGGAUUGAAUUCAUUUUAGACAGAUCACUGUUACACAAAAAUUUGAGGCAAACAGAAGAGUUUGGAGUAAACAGUAGGCUGUGAGCCAGUAAUGACUUGGACUGAGUUGGUAGCAGGUAGGUGUGAAGAAAAUAAAGUGGUUAUUGGGAGAUUUGGUUAACUGAAAAUGACUGAGGGAGAUAGAUGUCAGGUGACUCCCAAGUGAGUUGGUGGAGCAGCUAGGAGGAUAGUAAUGUCUUCACUGAGAUUAGAAACAAAAUAAGAGAAUAUAUGUUAGGGAAGGAAGAAGUCUUUGUUUUGACCAUGUAAAAUUUGAAGUGCAUGUGAGCCAACCAGUCAUAUAUGUGUAGUGUGCAAUUAGAUAUUCAUUCAACACUGUUGGAAGAGCACCUACUCUGUGCCUGGUACUGUUCUACACACUGAAAUAGGUAAAGCAGCAGCAAAACAAAUGGUUCCUACUCCUGUUUUUUAGAGGGAAACAGCAUAUAAACAAGUUUUAAAAAUAAGAGGAGAGAGAAUAUCCCAUAAAUUCGUGAAGAAGGCUGGGUGCAGUGGCUCAUGCCAGUAAUCCCAGCAGUUUGGGAGGCCGAGGUGGGUGGAUCUCCUGAGUUCAGGAGUUAAAGAGCAGCCUGGCCAACAUGGCAAAACCCCGUCUCUACUGAAAAAAAUUAGCUGGGCAUGGUGGCACGCUCCUGUAAUUCCAGCUACUCCGGAGGCUGAGGCAGGAGAGUAGCUUGAACCCAGGACACGGAGGCUGCAGUGAGCCGAGAUUGCGCCACUGCACUCCAGCCUGGGCGACUGAACGAGACUCCGCCUCAAAAAAAAAGAGUUUGUGAGGAAAAUUAAAAGCUGAUUGGAUAAAGUGUUACUCUGGGGAAAAGAGAGCAAACUUUUGGUGGUUGGUUGAUCAGAGAUGGCCUCACUGAGAAGGUAUUAGAAAGGACAAGAACAGUGUGAGACCAAAGGGAAUAGCUGGGCAAAGGCCCUAAGGUGAAAAAUUUGUUGUGUUUAGGGAAUAGCAAGGUCAGUGUAUCCGAAAUCUAGUGACCAAAAGAAGGAAUGAUAGGAGGUGAAGUCUUCAGCCUCAAUAAGAAGGUGAAGUGCACUGGAAGCCAUUGAAGGAUUUAAGAAAUGGAGUAUCUGGCCGGGCGCGGUGGCUCACGCCUGUAAUCCCAGCACUUUGGGAGGCCGAGGUGGGAGGAUCAAGAGGUCAGGAGAUGGAGACCAUCCUGGCUAACAUGGUGAAACCCCGUCUCUAUUCAAAAUAAAAAAUUUUUUUAAAAAUUAGCCAGGCGUGGUGGCGGGCGCCUGUAGUCCCAGCUACUCGGGAGGCUGAGGCAGGAUAAUGGCGUGAACCCAGGAGGCAGGGCUUGCAGUGAGCCGAGAUCGUGCCACUGCACUCCAGCCUGGGCGACAGAGCGAGACUCCGUCUCAAAAAAAAAAAAAAAAAAAAAAGAAAUGGAGUAUCAUGGACUAGGAUAGUAGCAGUAGAGAUGAGGGAAGUGGAUGGAUCCAAAAAGCUGACCUAUCUUGCUUACCAAUUAAAUGAGGAAAGGGAGGAAUCAAUAGUGAUG